CCCAUGUAGUGUGUACGUCGAAGCUUCCGAUUUUUUCGAUUUUAAACGCUAAACUUGUCUGGAGGAAGGUGUAGUCGAGCUCUGCAAAUAAUCUGCGUCUUGUGAUACCGACUUCGUGUAUUCGAGUAAAGUUAUUUUCUUUUACUGUUUGCUAGUGCUGCUAAUCAGUAAGUAUAUUUUUAGAGCAUCAUUAUAGUUGUCAACAAAACAAACUACAAAAUUGAUACUUCCUUCAUCGUCAUUGUAGGUAAUGAUGGAAAAAUCUAAUGCCGGUAAUGGAAGUGUUGCUGAAAGCAUUGUUAUACAAAAUAAUAGACAGCUACAUACGCUCACCAAUAUGAUUUCUGACGUCCAUCUGAAAUUGGACGAGGUACUUGUGCAGCAACAACAGCUUUUAACACAACCUUCUCCGAAUUCUAAUGAUGACCAUAGUGUUCCGGUUGAACAGGAAACUGAAUUUGUGUUUGCAUUGAUUGCAUCAGAAUCAGCCCUGGAAGAGUUCGAUAAAACCCUUAAUUUGGAGGAACAAUUUGUUAAAAUGAAGGAAUGGCUUAGUAAACAGAUUACAGCUGUACAAGGUUUUGUAAAUAUAUAAGCAUUAGUUUUAA